UAAUACAUCGGAACGUGCCCUGUAUGGGGGAGUAACUAGUCGAAAGAUUAGCUAAUACCGCAUACGACCUGAGGGUGAAAUGGGGACGCAAGGCCUCAUGCUAUAGGAGCGGCCGAUGUCUGAUUAGCUAGUUGGUGAGGUAAAGGCUCACCAAGGCGACGAUCAGUAGCUGGUCUGAGAGGACGAUCAGCCACACUGGGACUGAGACACGGCCCAG
rnacentral:rRNA from 1 species